UUUGACAGCUUUGAGGUGAAUAAAAAUGUUUGAUACGGCAGGGCUAGUGAAAAAUUUGACAGCAAGCAUUAUCAAGAAGAAGAACGAACAACGCACGUAUACACAUAAAUUAAAGAAAACAAAAGCGAGUGGAAAUAAAAGAACAUGGUCCCGCCGGCAAAAAAAAAUAAAGAAAAGCUAUAUAACUUGGAGCAGUUCAGAACGCAGAAUCCUUCUGGAAAAGCGCAUUGACAAGGAUGUUUGGUUCA